GGUUAAGCGACUAAGCGUACACGGUGGAUGCCCUGGCAGUCAGAGGCGAUGAAGGGCGUGCUAAUCUGCGAUAAGCGCCGGUAAGGUGAUAUGAACCGUUAUAACCGGCGAUACCCGAAUGGGGAAACCCAGUGUGAUUCGUCACACUAUCAUUAACUGAAUCCAUAGGUUAAUGAGGCGAACCGGGGGAACUGAAACAUCUAAGUACCCCGAGGAAAAGAAAUCAACCGAGAUUCCCCCAGUAGCGGCGAGCGAACGGGGAGGAGCCCAGAGCCUGAAUCAGCAUGUGUGUUAGUGGAAGCGUCUGGAAAGGCGCGCGAUACAGGGUGACAGCCCCGUACACAAAAGCGCAUGUGCUGUGAGCUCGAUGAGUAGGGCGGGACACGUGGUAUCCUGUCUGAAUAUGGGGGGACCAUCCUCCAAGGCUAAAUACUCCUGACUGACCGAUAGUGAACCAGUACCGUGAGGGAAAGGCGAAAAGAACCCCGGCGAGGGGAGUGAAAAAGAACCUGAAACCGUGUACGUACAAGCAGUGGGAGCACAGGUUUACCUGUGUGACUGCGUACCUUUUGUAUAAUGGGUCAGCGACUUAUAUUCUGUAGCAAGGUUAACCGAAUAGGGGAGCCGGAGGGAAACCGAGUCUUAAUUGGGCGUUAAGUUGCAGGGUAUAGACCCGAAACCCGGUGAUCUAGCCAUGGGCAGGUUGAAGGUUGGGUAACACUAACUGGAGGACCGAACCGACUAAUGUUGAAAAAUUAGCGGAUGACCUGUGGCUGGGGGUGAAAGGCCAAUCAAACCGGGAGAUAGCUGGUUCUCCCCGAAAGCUAUUUAGGUAGCGCCUCGUGAAUUCAUCUCCGGGGGUAGAGCACUGUUUCGGCUAGGGGGCCAUCCCGGCUUACCAACCCGAUGCAAACUGCGAAUACCGGAGAAUGUUAUCACGGGAGACACACGGCGGGUGCUAACGUCCGUCGUGAAGAGGGAAACAACCCAGACCGCCAGCUAAGGUCCCAAAGUCAUGGUUAAGUGGGAAACGAUGUGGGAAGGCCCAGACAGCCAGGAUGUUGGCUUAGAAGCAGCCAUCAUUUAAAGAAAGCGUAAUAGCUCACUGGUCGAGUCGGCCUGCGCGGAAGAUGUAACGGGGCUAAACCAUGCACCGAAGCUGCGGCAGCGACGCUUAUGCGUUGUUGGGUAGGGGAGCGUUCUGUAAGCCUGUGAAGGUGGCCUGUGAGGGUUGCUGGAGGUAUCAGAAGUGCGAAUGCUGACAUAAGUAACGAUAAAGCGGGUGAAAAGCCCGCUCGCCGGAAGACCAAGGGUUCCUGUCCAACGUUAAUCGGGGCAGGGUGAGUCGACCCCUAAGGCGAGGCCGAAAGGCGUAGUCGAUGGGAAACGGGUUAAUAUUCCCGUACUUGGUGUUACUGCGAAGGGGGGACGGAGAAGGCUAUGUUGGCCGGGCGACGGUUGUCCCGGUUUAAGCGUGUAGGUGUGUGUUCCAGGUAAAUCCGGUUCACUUUAACACUGAGGCGUGAUGACGAGGCACUACGGUGCUGAAGUAACAAAUGCCCUGCUUCCAGGAAAAGCCUCUAAGCAUCAGGUAACAUCAAAUCGUACCCCAAACCGACACAGGUGGUCAGGUAGAGAAUACCAAGGCGCUUGAGAGAACUCGGGUGAAGGAACUAGGCAAAAUGGUGCCGUAACUUCGGGAGAAGGCACGCUGACACGUAGGUGAAGUGAUUUACUCACGGAGCUGAAGUCAGUCGAAGAUACCAGCUGGCUGCAACUGUUUAUUAAAAACACAGCACUGUGCAAACACGAAAGUGGACGUAUACGGUGUGACGCCUGCCCGGUGCCGGAAGGUUAAUUGAUGGGGUCAGCGCAAGCGAAGCUCCUGAUCGAAGCCCCGGUAAACGGCGGCCGUAACUAUAACGGUCCUAAGGUAGCGAAAUUCCUUGUCGGGUAAGUUCCGACCUGCACGAAUGGCGUAAUGAUGGCCAGGCUGUCUCCACCCGAGACUCAGUGAAAUUGAACUCGCUGUGAAGAUGCAGUGUACCCGCGGCAAGACGGAAAGACCCCGUGAACCUUUACUAUAGCUUGACACUGAACAUUGAGCCUUGAUGUGUAGGAUAGGUGGGAGGCUUUGAAGUGUGGACGCCAGUCUGCAUGGAGCCGACCUUGAAAUACCACCCUUUAAUGUUUGAUGUUCUAACGUGGACCCGUUACCCGGGUUGCGGACAGUGUCUGGUGGGUAGUUUGACUGGGGCGGUCUCCUCCUAAAGAGUAACGGAGGAGCACGAAGGUUGGCUAAUCCUGGUCGGACAUCAGGAGGUUAGUGCAAUGGCAUAAGCCAGCUUGACUGCGAGCGUGACGGCGCGAGCAGGUGCGAAAGCAGGUCAUAGUGAUCCGGUGGUUCUGAAUGGAAGGGCCAUCGCUCAACGGAUAAAAGGUACUCCGGGGAUAACAGGCUGAUACCGCCCAAGAGUUCAUAUCGACGGCGGUGUUUGGCACCUCGAUGUCGGCUCAUCACAUCCUGGGGCUGAAGUAGGUCCCAAGGGUAUGGCUGUUCGCCAUUUAAAGUGGUACGCGAGCUGGGUUUAGAACGUCGUGAGACAGUUCGGUCCCUAUCUGCCGUGGGCGCUGGAGAACUGAGGGGGGCUGCUCCUAGUACGAGAGGACCGGAGUGGACGCAUCACUGGUGUUCGGGUUGUCAUGCCAAUGGCACUGCCCGGUAGCUAAAUGCGGAAGAGAUAAGUGCUGAAAGCAUCUAAGCACGAAACUUGCCCCGAGAUGAGUUCUCCCUGAGACUUAAAGUCUCCUGAAGGAACGUUGAAGACGACGACGUUGAUAGGCCGGGUGUGUAAGCGCAGCGAUGCGUUGAGCUAACCGGUACUAAUGAACCGUGAGGCUUAACCCU
rnacentral:rRNA from 2 species